UAAGGGUUCCCUGUGGCUUUGUGUAUAUGUUCCCUGAAGGUCAUUUGAUUACCUAUUUUAUUGAACUGACUUAGCAGGGAGUGGAAUCCAUUCCAACCAUUGCACGUGGAUUUCCCAACCACCCCUAAGUAGAUAUACCUGUGAGUGGCAAACUGACACUAACGAAGCUUUUUGCCUUUUGUACAUUUGAGAUUUUUUUUGUAUAUAGUGUUCGCUGCAAGGCCUGUGGAGUUAAAUCAUUGACUAUAGAGGUAUCAACUGCUGCAUGUUCAGGCAUAUUAUAGAACUUUAGUCUAUGAAAGAAUAACUAUAAUAAUGUCCAGGUGCAAUCUCCUUAUCACCUAUUGGUUCAAGUUGCUGAGAGAGAGGUAUGUUUCUUUCCAGGGAGGGCUGGGGUCCUUCAUAUUGUUUAUUUCCUUUUGGGUUAAAAGUGUAAGCACAUAGUGAACUCUGUUAAAGUCACGCUCGGUUCUCCUGUGUAGUGUCAUGCCCUGAGAGAGAUGGCAGACGGGAAAGAAUGUUCUCGAUAGUGGUUUCCAAGCUUGGACAGUGACUAUUUUGAGCCCAUACUAAAUGUGUCCCUAUUUGCAUCUGGCUGGUCACAGCCUUUGUCUCUAAUGACGACCUUCAGUUUUCCUCUUUGUUUUGCUUUUUUUUUUUAAGAAAAACUCAGGUGUAACUGUGAUCUGUUCUUAUGAUGAUUGCAAAUAUUAAAUGCUAUGCUGUAUCAAUCUGUAUGUUUGGCAUACCAGGGAAGUGAUGAAGAACAUUAGAUUAAUUUAAUUUAUCUUCAGUAACUUGACAUACUGGGGGAAGACUAUCUUUUGGAGUGGAAAACAAGCACAGAAACAUCUUCAUGGUGGUAUCAUCUCAAUGUUUAGAAAAAACAUAAUAAUCCCAUUAUACUCAGAUAUAAUCUCUCUUUCUCUCUCUCUCUCUUUCUCUUUCCCUCUCCCUCUCCCUCUUCCUCCCUCCCUCCCUCCCUUCCUUCUGCUUUCUUUACCAUUGUGAACAUUGGACAGCCAAGGCCAAUAUCAAGUGUUUUUCCCCCAGGGUUUGGUAGUGUUAAUGUUACAGUGAAGGCUACACCCUUCCUCAUGGCCAGUUGGCACUGUUGCUGGGAAGUCAAACAACACAUUCCACCAGCAACUCUAAGAAGUCAGGCCCCUGAUACCCUUUUGGUGCCCAUAGCCCUGCUGGCUAGGAGGCUUCCAGCCAACGCUUUGAAUCUAGUGGAGACCUACACACGAGUGUGUUCUUUGGAUGUAUACUGAGUCCUGUCAGCAAGAACUUAGCCACAGGGAAUGUGGCUUGGUGGCAGAACUCUUGCCUGGCUGGUGUGAAGCCUUGUACAUGGGUCCCAGCAUCACAAAAACAGCAGUGGUGGGGAUGGCCAAGCUGGCACCAGGGUAUCUGGGGAAUGGCCACACUGGCACCAGGGGAUCUGCCAGGUCUAUAUUUUUCCAACUCUCACUUUCUUUAUCUUAAAGGAAAAAAGUGGGGGGGAAAAAGCCAAAAAAUACUACAUGAAGGAUAGUAAUUCCUCCCUGCCUCUCAUUAUGGACUUCUUGAAGUAGAAACAUUUUUUUUCCUCCAAAGGUGAAAACACCAUUCAUUCUUGCUUUAAAAAUAAAAGAAGGCUUAAAAAAAUUACCUCUUUUUAAAUUAUGUGCAAAGUAAUUCUGGUUAAUAGAAAUGUAUUCAAUUUUAGGGGUUUUAUUUUGUAUUGUGAAGCUUUCUUUUCCUUUCCGGAUGUGAUUUUAAUCCCUUGCCAUCUAUCAGUGUGAUUUCAUUGUAAACAUUAUUGUGCCAAAUGUACUGUACUCAAAAGGAUGUGAAUGUGUAUUGUUCCAGAACGUAAUAAAUAUGAUGAUGUUAAAUCUU
rnacentral:lncRNA from 1 species